rnacentral:rRNA from 1 species
GUGGAUUAGAUACCCUGGUAGUCCACGCUGUAAACGAUGACGACUAGGUGUGGGGGGGGUUAGUCCCUUCCGUGCCGCAGCUAACGCAUUAAGUCGUCCGCCUGGGGAGUACGGCCGCAAGGUUGAAACUCAAAGGAAUUGACGGGGGCCCGCACAAGCGGUGGAGCAUGUGGUUCAAUUCGAUGCAGAGCGAAGAACCUUACCUGGGCUUGACAUGUAGGAAGUAGAAACCCGAAAGGGGGACGACCUGUUAAGUCAGGAGCCUACACAGGUGGUGCACGGCCGUCGCCAGCU